GUCAAAGAAAAUUAAAUUCACAUGCUCAGAACAUUUCGGGGCAGGUGUUUUUCCUAAGCCAGAAUUCAGGCUUGGGAGGGCAUACCCAGGAUUUAUGCCCCUCCUAACGUUUCACUUGUUGCACUAGCACUGGAGGGCAAAGGAUUUCACCAGCCCUGGUGGCCUGGCUUCCCUGGACCCAACUCAAUAACUUUGCUUCAAGCCCAUUGCAAUUUGUACGGCUUGAACGAAGGCUCAGAUGAGCGCUCUGCUCUGGCUGCUCAUCACUGCAUUUCACUUGGCAUGUAGGCUACGGAUGAGGAAUGCACAGAAUUUCCUUUUCCACCCCGUCAGAUCCUCUGUCUUGAGCCUGGCCCAGCCCCAAGAGCACAACGGAUGCAGCUGGAGAAGGGCAGGUCCAAUCUUGCCGCUCAGCUCCAGUGACACUUAACCUCCUCUGCUGCUGAGCUGUUUGCAGCUGGAGGUGGAUGCUAAUGAGCAUCAGCCUACUGAAAUGGCUCGUCAGGGAAGGAAGGAGAGUUGAUUUCUCUGGCUGGAGGAGGCGAUAGAAGCUGGAGCUUUUGUAGGAGAAGAUGACCCUGAAUCUCAAUGAAGGUGGUCUUUUGUUUUGCAGCUCAGUUUUUCUAUUGCUGUUGAUGUGCUUGAGCAGAAGAGAUGGAGCCGCGGCAGAAGCAUUCCUGCUCGUAUCAGACAGCUGUGGAUGGCAAUGGGUCAUUUCACUCCAUUAUGGUUUCUGGCAAGUGAGUAUUAAAGGGUGUGUGAGGGCAUCGUUUCUCAGCGAUGACUUCAUUUGGCUGUCUAAACAAACAGCCGUUCCUCACCAGGUGCAAAGGGCUGUCUAUUUGUUUUUUAACUCCAUGAAGGGGGGGAAAAAAAUACCUAAAGGGAAAAUAGCAGAUCCUGUCUGCUUGACAGCCCUGGUGGUCUCUGCCUCCUUGGAAAACAGCAGCGAUGAGCACUGUGGGGACAACUCACUCCUUGUUCAGCCACAGUGGAUGUCUUCAUGGCCAGGCUCUAGCUGCAUCAUCUGUCACAGAGAGAAGCAAAAUGACAAAGAGAGGAAAAGAUCAGUAAAUUUUAAGCUGGAGAAGAAAGACCAUUCAACCCGAGUGGAAGCAGAUAAAUGGGGAAUCAUUACCUACCCUGCCUUCAUCUUCACACCAAGCGGCCUCGAGUGCCACUUGCCUGGGCACUGUCACAAGAGAUGUGGCAAUGUGCAGCCAUGAGUCCUGUGCCCAUCCCCUGGAAGUGGAACCCCUGAGCAGGUGCCUUGUGGGGUUUGCUGGGACUGGGUGUGGUGUGAUGGGGAAGCAGCCCCUGGGUGUGCUGCUCAGAGCCCAUCGGAUUCACGUUGAGCCAAAGCCUUCAAAAGUGAAAGGCUGAUACACUUGCCACUCUCUGUGCCGCUGAGCCCUCUUUGCUUUGUGAAGGAUGUGGGGAAAUCACUCCUGCAACCUGUAAAUGAUGAACACAAUGUGAAAGCCCUGCUUGCAGACACACAGUGAAGAAAGCUCAGCAAGGUCGCAGACAAAAGGCGAGGACAAUCAACUGAAAGACUCCCCAGCUUCAACUGUGGCCUAGAUUUAAUUCCAGGGAAUUUGGUGGGGUUUCCCUAUCCCCACAGCCAGUCAGCCCCAGGGAAUGCCAGCUCGCAGGUAGGCUUCUCAGAGGGCUCAGGACAGCCUGCAGUGAUGUUAGGCUCCUAAAUGGUUUCUUAUGCACAGAAAGUCCCAUAGGGACCAGAAGCUUGUGCAGAUUACUUCUGGGUGAAGCCAUAAAGCUGGAAGUGAAAGGGGCCAGGAUGUUCUUGAGGCUUGGAAAUCCGGGCUGCAAAGAAGAGAGGAGGGAGGGUUAAAGCCCAUAAAUAGUUCUCAGCUAAUGAAACGGCUGGGUGUGGGGAAAAGGGGAGAAUAGCUCCUUUUUGAAAGCAGAUGAGGCAAGCAUGCCUCCCAACAUACUUUGUGCUCGUAAAACCCAGUCUGGGUUUCUAGGUAACUAGAGGAGAUACCCCGGGGAGAAGUUUCUAAGGGUUUCCCACAGUUUCUAGAUUUGAACAGCAAUGCUGAGUAUUGGCUGUGGUUAUACGAUCCAGGCUGACCUCCUGGCUGUCCCUGUUAAAUCCUGGUUUUGGUCUUUGCAUCCAAGUGUUGUCCUAGGGCUGUUUGUCCUCCUGUAGAGCUCAUCUCCACUUUGUGUCUUCUUUACCCACAAAGCCUUGAUAUGAACAGGCAUUGCAUUGCAAUCAGUCUGGAUGAACACUGGCUCUGUCUGGGGCUUUUUCCAUGCUGGCUUCCCUGUCUUUACUGGGCUUCAGACCAGUUAAUACAGUGUGCAAGUGGGGAUCGGGUGCAUUCCUGCCACCCAAAACAGCACAAGGCUCUUAGCCACUAAAAGUUGAAUCUCAAAUUCAGGAAAUCCCAUCAUGGCAAAAUGGGGAAUCCAGGUGGGCUUUGUGCACAAAGCCUACUUAAUUCUCAGUAACAAAUUUUGUGUUGGUCACUGCUGGUAAAAGAAAAAAAUAUAUAUAUAAAUAAAAAUAAAAAAAAUAAAGGCAGCUGUAGGGCCAGUAAAGAGCCAGCUUGAAAAUUUCUGCCAUGGAACAAAUGGAUGUCAGGAUGGAGAAGAUUCAGAUCCUUCUCCUGUUUGCAGCCAGUGCUCUGGUGAGCAGGCGGGGAUGCUGAAAGGACAAUGGCACGGAGAUAAUUUACUGCUGUGAUUGAAUUUAAUGUUGCACGCGUAUCCGUGCAAAGUGGUGGCUGCACGCACAAGGAUGCAGGACUCUUUCCCCAUGCACAGGGAGGGUGAAGGAUAAGUGCAGAGGAAGGAAACAGCACAUGCUGCUUCCAGAGGCCAGUCCUACACAGAUGACUGCAGGCUGCCACUGUGCUUGCAGAGUAGAAGGAGCUGUAGAUGAAGGAGAGGACUAUAUGUUCUGUAAGUCCCUACAGCCAUUGUUUUAUCUUCAGAUCUACUUUAUCCCCCUACUAGACGCUCUCUGGGAGGGCAUACAAAUUGAAAGUUAAUUAUGCAACUUGAUACCAUCAGUUGACACACACCUCUUUCUGCCCACGUACCCUGAGCAAAGGAAACCACCUCCAUGCUUGAUUGCAGCCUAUGGAAAAGCCAAGGUGAGGUGGCUGGGAGGGUCAGAACCCUCAUACCAUAGCCAUCAUGUGUGUUUUCCUUUCUUGCCUUCACAUUGUGUGGUAGGAGCAGGAGGGUAUUUCUUCAGCUCUAUUGGGAAGAGCAUCCAAAUAACCAUCUCCUUCACGUGGCUGAAGAGUUCUGAUGGAUGGGUGAUACCCACGUUUUCUUUCAGUUGGCAAAUUCUGUGCUCUUAGUGCCAUCCUGAUAACAGUACCAAUCUCUGCAGCUUUCAGACACCUCCUGCCCACAGCUUGCACCAACUCACUGCAUUUCAGAUUGCCUAAAGAACUUCUCCAUUGGCAAACUCAGCCCAUAAAUAAAUGUUUGAAGGAUAUUGCUGCGUUUCCCAAGAGCACGCAGCUUUUGAAUUGCUAUUUCCCCUGGUAUUAGGAGUUCUGGAAGCUGAAGCCAGCCAGAUGAUCAGUAUCUUUAACCACAUUGUGAGGGCUCCUUUUGGGAAAACGCAUCUGUAUAACGAAUUGUCCUAGUUGCAUGAAUGAAGUGUUGAAAAUCAGCUGAGGGGCAGAACAUGUGGGGAAGUUGUGUCUCCAGGUGUGCUGAAAUGUUACCUCCAAAUUACUUGUUAAAACUUCGUUUUAGUGUCCUGAUUCAGAUCCUGUUUAUUCACGUGCAAUCAGGAGUGAUUCUCCUGAAGAAAAGCAAUACCCAGCAUCCUGAAGCCCUCUUUGGUUUGGAGCACAAAACAGUUUCCACUUAACCUCAUUAAAAGCCUGAUUUGAGGGGAUUUCUCUGUCAAUAUUGAAUCUAAUCGCCUUUGGCCCAUGGAUCCUUCUCUCUACCUGGCUUUGACCAUCAGCCCCAUGUCUGUUAUUUUUGGGAUCCAGUAGUGCUGCUUUGGCAGGUUGUUGAGCCGUUCAAAACCCUCAUCUAAUAAGCUAGAAGCACAGCAGCUUCCAGAGCUGCACUCCAUUCCAGCAACUCCCUUUGCCAGCUCGAAAUUACGCUAUUUUCCAAUUUCAUUAUUACCUCUGUUUUUUAUUACAGCAUCAUUAGAGUGAGAAAACUGGAAAGGAAGUGGGGAUUGUAUAAUGCAGGAAAUAGUGAAUUAAUACCUCUACCAUAUGAUGGAAUGGUGCAGAGCUGUGACAGUGUCAGGGAAAUAUAGAGCAAAUAAGGACUGUGCUGGCUGGAUGAGGCGAGACUUCUCCGCUUGCUCUGAGGAAUAUUUGCUCACAGAAAUGACUAUUUCUCAGAAAUGCAAGAUUUGCAUUUUCUUUUUGCAUGCGCAUGUUGCAAAUAAAGCCAUCACGCGGAUAUGGAAUGUGGGAAAAAAUAGCUUUUAUUGCACAUAGAUGAGCUUUUGCACGUUGGCAAAAGAAGGCUGAUUUAUUGCCUGAGAAACAGCGUCAGAGCAUUUUAAGGAAGGGGCUAUGUAUGAUGAUGACAAAGAAUUGUCUAUUCCUUACCAUGUGGCUCCACAGUGCUAAAUCCUGAGAAGUGUUUAUUAGCUCUUGAGCAUUUAUAACUACGAGCAUUUAUAACUACCAGCUUCAGUGGGCUGCAGUGAAUGGCAAGUGCAGCUCCCACAGCCAGCAGUGUGGAGGGGUUUGCCUUUCAUUCUGAAAGGGCAGGCAGCACUAACGAGUGAGAAAAGCACCCCUUCUUCUCCUUUUCUUCCUCUCUGCUCCUUUUCUUCUUUUUUCCAAUGACAUCUAUAUUUUCAGGCUUGGUGGCCUUACAGUGACACACAAAUCAGGCCCAUUAGUUACUGUGCACCUUGGAAUUUUGGACCGAGGAUGGAAGUUGGGUGUUUCUAGCACAUGGGGAUGGCACUGCUCACAGUUUCUGUGGCUGCUCGGAUAAAAGCCUCUGUAAAAUGCGUCUCCUAAAAACCCAUUUUGUUUGUAGUUACACCAGAAAGCAAUUAAAGGCUGGUAUGUAUCAUUUUCAUUUUGACGCUGCCUUCUGAGACGGUAAGCGAUUCGUUAGCUUAAACAACUCAGAGCCCAAUCUGCAUGUAUCUGUUGUGCAGUUGUCAGAUGGCAACAAAUGUGCUUCUAAUAACAGCUUGUUACUCAGAUCGCUGGGUUGCGAAGGGAUUGCAGGUUUUGGAAGCAACUUCUUUUUACGUCUUCUGAUCGUCCUGCUGCCUGACAGUGCUCAUGUAAAGAUGCUUCAGAGGAGCUGCAGGGCCCUGAGAG